CUCACAUUUGUUUUUUGCUGUCCAGUUUGAAGCACAAUUUUGCAACAAGCAAGGAAAAAAAUUCCUUCUUGACCCCAGAAUGUCAGUCAGAUUUAUCCUUGGAUCAAGCAGUUAUUACCCUACAUUGAAAGAUUAUAUCCUUGAAUAUUCUGUUUUUGCAAGUAUGCAUCUAGUAGCUGUUUGAACAUCUGUAUGGACUCUGAUAAAACCACUUCUUCAGGCAGAGAAUUCCUUUGCCUUAGACAAAAU